GUAGGAAGCGAGCGUUAUCCGGAUUUACUGGGCGUAAAGCGCGUGUAGGCGGUCGGGUAAGUUGGAUGUGAAAGCUCCUGGCUUAACUGGGAGAGGUCGUUCAAUACUGCUUGACUUGAGGAUGGGAGAGGGAAGUGGAAUUCCGGGUGUAGUGGUGAAAUGCGUAGAUAUCCGGAGGAACACCAGUGGCGAAAGCGGCUUCCUGGCCCAUAACUGACGCUCAGACGCGAAAGCUAGGGGAGCGAACGGGAUUAGAGACCCCGGUAGUCCUAGCUGUAAACGAUGUGGACUUGGCGUUGGCGGGUUUAAAUCCGUCAGUGCCGAAGCAAACGCGAUAAGUCCACCGCCUGGGGACUACGGCCGCAAGGUUA
rnacentral:rRNA from 1 species